GAAUCGGAAUUCAGUAUUCGUUACAUUUCAUAAAUAAACUCUCCCAAUAAACAUAAACUUCCGGUGUAGGAAAGCACAUGUUUGUUUGUUUACAACAUAUUUACAGGAAAGAGUUUAUAAUGGGGAAGAAUAAAAAGGGUAAAAAGGCAGCAACUGUUUCCACAGACAAGAAACCUGGUGGUGUAAAGAAGCAUAAAGCUAAACCAGUGGCUACCAAUCUUAAAAGGUUAAAUCAGAUCAAUAAGACUAAAACAGAAUGUUUAGAUAAAAACUAUUCUGGUUUUAGAAAUUCGGUUAUAAAAUCCGCUCAGGAAUCGAAGAAAGCUAAAAAUAAACCAGCAGUGAAAGAACAGGUACAUCCGGUUAGAGAUGAACCCAAACCAACACCAGAUAUUGAUGAAACUAUGAUGGACUUAUCCAAGUUAUGAUGGAAUUAAUUAGAGAACAUUUACUAACUUCCUCUUCUGAUAUCGGAUAUCAACAGAAAAUGCAAAAGGCACCUUUGAUUUAAAAUUCACUACAGAUUGCUAAUUGAAAACUCUUUGAUUUCAUAUUGUUUGUCUUCUUCUUUUUAAAUUUGAAAGUAUAUAUCCGCCAUAACUGUAAAUAUGUAUACAACGCCAGGGUACCAAAAUAUAGAAAAUUUUGAAAUUUGUCAAUUCCGAGAACGCUGUUUAGAGCGCCUCUAGCAUUCCAAAUUCCAACAUGAAACCCUUUAAAAUACAUGAUAAUGAAAGAGACAAAAGCCUGAUUAUAAAUGAAUAGACUAGUAAAAAGGUUGAAAACU